rnacentral:lncRNA from 1 species
CAAAGUUAAAUAAACCAACUAAGCCCGGCAUUUCUCGGUGGCUUCCCACUGGGUGUGGUUCCCGGGGGCUCAGAGCCGCCCUCUCCCUCCCCCAGGCCCUCUUGGCUGCCUGUGAGCUGGGUGUCUUCCACGUCCUCGCGGAGGCCCCGGGGCCCCUGGACUUGGGUGCAGUUACCACGCGCCUGGGCACCAGUUCCCACGGGACAGAGCUACUGCUGGAUGCCUGUGUGUCCUUGAAGCUGCUGACAGUGGAAAUGAGGACAGCAGAAGCUUUCUAUGGAAACACAGAGCUGCCCUGCACCUACCUCACCAGCUUUGGCCCCAAAUCCCAGUGCCACAUGCUGCUGUACCUGUCUAGGACCACCUACCGCUGCUGGGGACACCUGGCCGAGGCCGUGAGGUGGGCUCCGAGCCUCAGGGCCCCCAUUGGGGCUGGAUCAGGGGGACCAAGGACCAAAAUGACCCGCUUUCUUGUAGAGCUGAACCCCUCGUGGCGGGGAUUGGAGACCAGAUCAGUGCCUCUUUCAGUAGUGCUCCAUCACCGGGGAAAAGUCCAUACUGAUGUCUCACGUGUGGAGGGAAGGGCGGUGAUUCAGAGCAGGGAUGCCAAGACUCAGGCUCUGGUCGCAAUGGUUUUGUCUACAUCAGGUCGCUUGGUGCUGUGGGCGUCUGGGGCCGGAGAUUCUCCGUGGGGCUGUGCUGUGCAUGGUCGGGCGUGGAACAGCGUCUCUGGGCUCCACCUCCAGGGGUCGGGAGCAGCCCCACAGUAGAAGGGACAAGGAAAAUGUCUCCAAAAAUUGUCAAGUGUCCCCUGGGACAGGGAAGGGUGACAAAAUUUUCACCUAGUCAGAAACCACUGAGAGAGGGAGGGAGGAGGGAGAGAGAGAGAGAGAGAGAGAGAGAGAGAGAGAGACAGGAUGGAUGAAGAGAUGGAUGAUAGAUAUAUAGAUUACAGGCAUGCACCACCACACCUGGAAUUACAUGCCUAAUUCUUGAGGAAGAACUUUUCCUCUUUUUCUCAGAGAAGGGAAGAAUCAGUACGAGAAGGCAUUCGGCAUUUCCUCUCAUGACCUUUUCACAGCCAUCUACAGGUAAGUUCAAUCCUUUAGGACCUCCAACUCUCAUAGGGCUGCCGCUUACAAGACCCUAAACCUGUUCCCAAAAAACCCAAUGCAAAGAAGUCAACAUGUAAUUGAAGAUAACCCACCCUCUCAUUUUCUUGUGGGGAUGUUUGCUUUCUGUGAACUCCCAACUGGAAGCGGAUCUUCCCAUCUCGGUCACUUUCUUAUUGCUGA